GCGGACAUCGGGGGGAGCCCAUACCGGGCUGAGAGGCGGGCAAGGCGGCCCGCGACCCCUGGAACCUGCCCCGGUUAGGACCGGCGAAGGGAUCGGUGCACCUCAUGCCA
rnacentral:ncRNA from 1 species